AAGAAGGCCUUUGGGUUGUAAAGCUCUUUUGUAGGGGAAGAUAAUGACUGUACCCUAAGAAUAAGGUCCGGCUAACUUCGUGCCAGCAGCCGCGGUAAUACGAAGGGACCUAGCGUAGUUCGGAAUUACUGGGCGUAAAGCGCGCGUAGGCCGUUGAGUUAGUUAAUUGUGAAAUCCCAAAGCUUAACUUUGGAACUGCAAUUAAAACUGCUCGACUAGAGUUUGAUAGAGGAAAGCGGAAUACAUAGUGUAGAGGUGAAAUUCGUAGAUAUUAUGUAGAACACCAGUUGCGAAGGCGGCUUUCUGGAUCAACACUGACGCUGAGGCGCGAAAGUAUGGGUAGCAAAGAGGAUUAGAUACCCUCGUAGUCCAUACCAUAAACGAUGAUUGCUAGAUGUUGGAAAUUUAUUUUCAGUAUCGCAGCUAACGCAUU
rnacentral:rRNA from 1 species